rnacentral:rRNA from 1 species
GACGAACGCUGGCGGCGGGCUUAACACAUGCAAGUCGAACGGAAAGGCCCUGCUUUUGUGGGGUGCUCGAGUGGCGAACGGGUGAGUAACACGUGAGUAACCUGCCCUUGACUUUGGGAUAACUUCAGGAAACUGGGGCUAAUACCGGAUAGGAUCUCCUGCUGCAUGGUGGGGGUUGGAAAGUUUCGGCGGUUGGGGAUGGACUCGCGGCUUAUCAGCUUGUUGGUGGGGUAGUGGCUUACCAAGGCUUUGACGGGUAGCCGGCAUGAGAGGGUGACCGGCCACAUUGGGACUGAGAUACGGCCCAGACUCCUACGGGAGGCAGCAGUGGGGAAUAUUGCCCAAUGGGAGGACGCCUGAUGCAGCAACGCCGCGUGCGGGAUGACGGCCUUCGGGUUGUAAACCGCUUUCGCCUGUGACGAAGCGUGAGUGACGGUAAUGGGUAAAGAAGCACCGGCUAACUACGUG